CUCCCAAAGUGCUGGGAUUACAGGCGUGACAAGGAUCUUUAUGACAUUGUACACAUGGAUCAAAAUAUCACAGGUGCUCCAAAAUAUGUACGACUAUGAUAAAUGACUUUAAAAAGAAUCGAAUAAUAAUAAUAAAGAUAUCCUUAACAAAAAAGUGGCUUCUAACCUACCAGUUUGCAAUCUUAGCAAUGAACACUGUGCAGUUAUGAAAUUAUUGUCCCUCAGCUCCAAAGCCACCCUCCUAGACCUUACUUGGUCCACAAAUCCCGGUCAGUUUUGCCAGCCACUCUCUGCUAGGCUCUGCCAAUAGAGGGCGCUAGAGGGAGGCUUCAGGGCUGGGGAAAGAAGAAAGCACCUGUCCUUUCUGUUCCCUGUAGGUUUCAGCCUGACUGCAGCAAUUCCUUUCUAGAUAGCAGCUGCAUCCAAUUAGCAGAGGCCACAUUGCACUUCAUUCUCCUCUCCAACACCAGCAACUGCCAGCCAGGGCCUCUCUUAAGAGAGCUGAGUUGCAGCUUUAUGGAACCCCUUUUCAAGAUUCUAAGUUAUAAUCAUUCCAAUCUCUUUCCUUUAUUCUCCAAGCCCUAGGGGAGGUAGCUUCUCCCUGCAUUUGCUACCUCAGUGAAACUUUUCAAAAGCGUUUCACCCAUCCUGUUAAUAAUUUUUACAUUAAAAUCUCUCUUUUCAAGUAACUGGUAUGAUUUGUCUCCUGACUAUCCCAUGACUGAUCUAGACACCUAGACAAAUUGAAAAACUUUACAAGUUAGAUGUUGAAUCCAACCCCUUAGUUUUACCAGACGAGGAGGCUGAGCCCCAGAAAGGGUCAAUAACUUGCCCAGAACCUCAAUGCUGGCCGAGGACCUGCUGGCACUGCAUUUCUGGUCUCCUGGCUCCAGGCCUUGUGCUUUCACUACUAAACCUCACUGUCCAAGGUCAUGGAGGUACCAGAGAGAAUAAGAAGAGCUUCUCAAAUGCUGUCUUUGAAGUCUAGGAAAAGGAAGAAUGAAGGAAAAAUGAGCCUAUCACCAGGGAAGGGAAAUACAAAAUUAACAAUGUCUCUGGAAUGGCUAUGUUAUUAGACUCAUUUAAAAUCUGUCUUUAGCAAAAGAAAUUUAAAAAAUACAUUUGGAAAAUUAGAGUGCAGUGGAGUUAUCAAAAAUUACCUUAGUGUGAAGCAGAUAAGGAACUAGUUAGAAAGCCAGAAAUUCAAUCUUCCCUCAAUUUCACUCAACAAGCUCGGUGGCAUAUUAGGGAAAUGAUCCCUUAAUAUACUGAGAUUUUUGAGGAAAUUGAAAACCAGGAUUGCUACUUGCAGAGCAAAGGAGGAAGAGGAGAAGAAGGAGGAGGAGGAGGAGGAGGAGGAGGAGGAGGAGGUUGAAAGGAGGAGCGAUGUGGUGGAGUGGAAAAGACUUUUAAUUGGUGGUAACACAACAAAGGAAAUAGAAUACCCCUCCUUGGAAGAGGGAGGAGCCUGCAGUGACAGGCACCAUGCAAGAAAGAGCCCAGUUCUGAGACUGAGACAUCUGGGCCAUGGUCCUGGCUCCAUGACUACCACAGCAUGCCUGUGGGCAGCCCAUUCAGCCUCUCUGACCACUAUUACAUCUUUGUAAAAUUCGGUGCCCAUCUUUGCAGAGUUGUUAGGAUUAUAUAGGGGAGUGGAUUUAAAGUAUCUAGCAAAAUGCCUGGCACCAAAGUAAAUGCACAUUUAAUAAAAGCUGCUAUUGAUGUUAUUAGCAGUACAGCUUAAAAUUGUCUAGGACCUUGGAAAGCCACAGGAUUAGAAAAAUAAAAAUAAGAUGGUGAUAUUUUAAAAACAAGCCAAUCAUAUACUAAAGGAAUAUGAGGAAAAAGGAUAGAGAAUAGCAUAGGAAACUUAUUUUUAGUAGUAUGCCCUUUAAAUAGACCUCCCUCUCUCCUUACCUGGAGAAGAAGCCAGCUUCCAAUAAAAAGCUUUUUUUGAAAAAUAUUUUCGAAGUUUCCUCUAACAAGACUUUGAAGGGGGGAUUUUUUUUUUUUUUUUUUGCUAACUCAUAUUUCUUCAGUUCCCACAUUAAAUGUCAUCUCCUUAGAAAGGCAUCCCUGAUGUUCCAAACUAAGGCUCCACCAACUUUUUCUAUAAAGGGACAGAGCAUAGAUAUUUUACUUGUAAAAUGUACUUUGCCAAUCUUCUAUGGUCUCUGUCACAUCAUAUUAUUAUUCCUAAAUUUACAACCCUUUAAAAAUGUUAAAAAAAAAAUUGGUCAUAGGUUUGUAGACCACAGUUUGUUGGUUCCUGUUCCAAAUUUCAGUCGUCCCUGAUAGUCUUUUGGCAGCAUACUAUUGCUUUUCCUUUGUAUCACAUGUCUCUAUUUGAUGUUAUAUAUUUAUUUGUUUGAUAUUUGCCAAACUCCUGUGACUGUAAACUCCUGGACGAAGGGACCAUGUUGAUUUUGCUUGAGGAGAGUUCGACACUGUGUCUCUAGCACAGAGAUGUACACAUAGUAGGUACUCCAUUAAUAUUUGUUCAAUAAAUAAAACAAUCUAAAAGUAAUUCCUAUUCACUGUAAGAAAAUCUGAGGAAUACCCCCCAAAAUGUAUAAAAGGUAAAGCAAUAAUCUAUUCAUCAUACCACCACUCAGAGACAGCUGUUGUCAGCAGGCUUUAUUUUUGUAUUUGUAUUGGUACGUGUAUAACUACAUACUGUAUUUACACGAUAGAAAUCUUUCUGUCUCGAAAGCUUCAUAGUCUAGCUUUUCACUUAAUAAACAACUCAGCAAAGAAUAUUUUAUGCAUAUGUCUUUGUUGGUGUUUCUAGUUAUUUGCUCAGAAUAGAUUCCAAGAAAUCGAAUCAUGAGAUCGAAGGAGAUCAACAAGUUUGUGGCUCUUGAGACACAAUGCCAAAUAUCCUUCUAGAGAGCUGGCAGAUAUCAGAAACCUCUUCUCAGCUUUAGAGAUGCUUUUCACACAGACAGAAGAUUUCCUCUCCACACCAGAGGCAGCAGGAUAAGAUGUACCAUCAGACCGCACUGGCUUACCGUGGUGACAAGAAAGAAGAGGCCCUGACUGGGUGAGCUUCUUUAUUUAGCAAUUAACCAAAGACAAAUAAACCACUUCUAACCUUUUUCUUGCUUGAAUAUGUAGAAAUUAAAUGCAUUCAUUAUCCUGAGAGGAUUAUGAGCUUCUUUUUCCUGCAGUGACUCAAAUAUUUAUUUGACUGUAUGCAUAUGCUUUGCAGGAAUAAAAAUCAGCAUCUUCCAACUAAACCAUUUCCAUUGCAUCUAUAAUAACAUCUCUAAAAAGUAAUUCCUGUCAUUUCCAUUCCAUUUAUUUAUUACUCAACCAAAUAUACCCCCCUUGAAGGGUAGUAUUCUCUUGGACUAGGGCAUGGGAUUCACAGUUCCUCAAAGUGGUAAAUGUGAUAAAUGUUUUAACAUAUAUGGGAAUCCCACAAAGAACUCUCACUUUGGUAUUAAAUCAUGGAGGAACAUCAGGGUAUCCAUCUGCACACCCUAUGAAAUAAGAUGCAUUGGGUAAGUCAGCCAGGUGCUUUGUUUAUGUGGCAUCUGGACGCUUGGAAACUUCUGGAUGAGUAAACACUUUCUUUUGGGUCGAAAAGGUUUGGCUUUAACAUGUCGUCUAGUGGAAACCAAUCUAGAAUCACCAUGUUCGACUUUUCUAGUCUUUUAUGGGUCCAGUAAACUCAAGUGAAGGAAUCUUCAGAAGUGGGUUAACUUGUCCAUUCUCUUGGUAGUUGGAAUUCUUUCCUAAAUGUCACAUAAGAUAUUUGGAUACAAAUGUGUAGAGGAGAAAUGAAGGGACAAAAGAAUUAACAUUUGUUGAUCUCCUGCCAUAUGUAAGACACUGUGAUAGAUCACAUGUAUAAUAAUUUCAAUUUGUCAUUCCAACCUGGUGAGGGAGGUAUUAAUGGCUUCAUUUAACAGAUGAGGAAACUGAGGUUAAGAGAUUUCCUCUCUGACCACAAUUAUUAAAGUAUAAGUAAACUUUCCCAAUCUCUGAUGAAAGAACCUAGGAUUAUAGUUGAGUGAGUCACCAAUGCCCCAAAUUAUGACAUAGCCCAUGAAGAAAGAUACACUAAUACUCUUCAAGGACAGCAGGGUUGGGGUGAGGCAUUUGUCACUCUGCCUGAGGAUGCAACAUUCUCACUUGCCCUGGCCCCUCAGCUCAGGGCGAGCCACAGCACAGCAGAAGAGCAGAACCGCCCCUCCUGGAAGUUCUAGGUUCUGAAUGUGUCCAAUAGGCCCAGAGGUGAGGGUCUACAGGCAGAUCAGGGAGUCUGAGAGACAGAAGCCCCUUGCUUCAGCAGCAUUGGAUUUAAGGACAGAGCCUUAAAUCAGGAAGAAGUUCUCUCUCCAACCAUAUACAGGGGAAACUAAAGACUUUGCCUGGCAACCUAGAGACUUUAUCAUCGCAGGAGAUGGAUAACCAAGAUGAAACCAUGAGACAACAUUCUGGGCCAAGCAGUGAGCAAUGAGGAGACCCAGACCCCAGGUUCCUGGCUGUGUCUUUGGCUAAAAAGAAGAGGCAUUAAGACAGAUUCCCUGAGGAUACUUCAAGAACCCUGAAAUUGCCUUGCUCACAUACCACCACACUAGAGAUGUUUCAGAAAAGCAGCUUCCCUUUUGGUGCCUCCAAUCCAGAAUGACUCCAGGACCCACCGAGAGGUGAGGCAGAGAGGACAAGGCAAGGACAAAACUUCUUUGGACUAUUUUCUGCACAUCCCCAGCAGAGAUUGAUGAAUGCCUCUGAGUCAGCAAAAUCUCCAGUGGUGAAACAGAAAGCGUACACUCCACACAUUCAAGCAGCCAGGCCAGCCCACACGGAGAAGAGGAUGUUCACAUCCAGCCUGUUCAGUGGACCCCAUGGGGCAUUUCAAAGGCUAUUACAUUUCCAGGACCUUCUAUCACACCCCCUUUCUUCCAUCCCUGCUAAUAUUUGUGACUUUCCAGCUUUCUUCUCUGAAAUUAAAAUCAAACCUUUGCAAAGUGAAAAUCAGUUCAUCUGAGCUAGUGCUGGUUAAGAUUUACAAAAUAAAGAGGAAUUUUACACCCACUGGCCUCAAAGAGUCAUUUUAGCUGGCAGUCAUGAGCUCCACCGAGGACCCGAGUGUUCUCUGUCUGACCGGGUUGCUGGCGGAAGGGAUGCGGGAAAUUCUUUGUGCUCUGUUGCUCUGCUCCAUACUUAGUGACGGAUCAUCUCUUGGGCCCCUGACACAAAGGAUGGCAAUGUCACCACUCAGCUCUCUGGCAGCCUAUUCUAGGCUGACAGUCUAGCCUCAGGGAUCACUGCAGACCCCUGCAGUUUCCCCUUCCAGUGAAAUCAGCUGGGUGCUGAUUUUACACCCACUGGCUGAGACACAAACAACAUCCCUCUCUCGCCUACAGAGAUGGGCUGGCACUGACUCCAGCACCCUGAGAGGCCAAUGCCAACUUCACACUUGCAUCUUAUUGGAGUCAUGCAUUUUGCAUAGAAGUUGUUUAAGGUUAUAUGUGUAAUGCGCACCUGGAAAAGUCUUCCAGGGGUGGGACAGCAAGAUAAAGGAGAAGCAACAGACUUUGAAGUCAGAUAUAACUGGAUUUUUGAAAUCCUAGAUCUGUCACUGACUAGUUUUUCCAAGUUACUUUACCCUCUUAGAGCCUAUGUUUUCUCAUCUGUUAAACAGUGAAAAUCAUGUUUGUCUUUCAGGUCAUUAUAAAGGUUAGAAAUGGUAUAAUGUAAGAUACCUAGUACAAAAUGGAUGCAAAGAAAGAGCUUAUCAGAUUAUAACUCUUGGUAGUGGUGAUAGUAGUAUAAUUAUUAUAAUUUGAUUUUAAAUUAGAAAAAAAGGAACAGGUUAUAUAAGACAGUGGGAAACAACUGAUUUAUUCGUAUCAGUUUCUUUUGCUUUCUAUGAAGAAGUCUGUAUGGGAGAAAAUAAACCUUUCAACUUCAUUCAUAUAAAGGAACCCACAGUAACAAUGAGUGGCAACACAGGACAGGAAAAUCACAUUAGGAACUGGGGUCCAGCACUCAUGCCUUAAGGUCUCUGAGCAACACUCCCCUCAUUGCAUAAAUACAGACUAUCACUCUACUCAUCUCACAGAGUCAUUUAAAGACCAAAUAAGAGCGAUUAGGAAAACCAUUGAAAAUCUGUAAAGCACUGUACAAGAUUUUUUAAUGCAGUUCCAUUUUUUCAUGCUACCGAAGAUAUGUGCAAAUAUUCCAAACAUCAUCGCAAAUACAGGAAGGAAGCCAUGUGGGGAUCGUUCCUACUUUUUAAUACAGCUCGAUAAGCAAAAACCCUGCCAUCUCAGCAGCUCCUACUGAUACACAGUCUUUGUCUUAAGCAAAAACCCUGACAUCUCAGCAGCUCCUACUGAUACACAGUCUUUGUAUAAACUACGUGGUUCUCUACUCUGGCUGUACAAUAGUGUCACUAUGGAGCUAUUAAAAAAUGUAUAUGCCCAUGACUCAUCCAUAGACAUUCUGGCUUAGUUAUUCCAGAGCACAGCCUGUGCUUUUUAUCAGCAGCUCCUCAGGUGAUUCUAUUGGGCAGUUAGGAUUAAGGACAUUCAUCUAGUGCAGUGGUUGUCAACUGGAAGUGAUUUUUCCCCCCAGGGGACAUUUAGCAAUACCUGGAGACGUUUCUGGUUGUCACAACUGGGAGCAGGGUGCUACAGGCAUCUAGUGAGUGGAGGCUAGGGAUGCUGCUAGGCAUCCUACAAUGGAAAGGACGGCCCCUCAGAACAUGGAAUUGUCCAGCCCAACAUGUCAAUAGUGCAUGACUUUGAGAGGGGCCACACAGAGGACUCAUUCUAAAGAAAGUCAGGAACUGCCCAUACUGCACAAACAUAGCUCAGCAAUAUUUCUGGUUUCACAUGCUCUCCAGAACCUUGUCAUUUCCUCCAUUAGAAGAUGGAGUCUAUUUCUUCUUUUUGAAAUUGAACUGGUCUUUAUUACUAUCUCAACAAAUAGAAUUCAAGGAAAUAACAUGCCUGACUUCUGAGGCAAAGUCACAAAAGGCUUCUGCUUGUCUUUCUCUCUCAAGAUCUCUUUCCAAGCCAACAGGUUAAAAAAAAAAAUCCAGCUACCCUGGAGCUGCCAUGUUGGAAAGAUCACAUUUAAAGAUCGUAUGGAGAUAGAGAGAGAUGCUCAAAAGAAGCCCCAGCCAUCUGCGUCUUCCAGUUUGGGUACCAGAUAUUUGUGUGGGUGAGCCCUCCGAUGAUUCCAGCCCCCACCUUCCAGCUGCCCCAGGUAAUGUCAAGUGGAAUAGGGGCCAGGUGUCUGCCCAGACUGCAGAUUUAUAAGCAAAGUAAAUGGCAUGGAGGUUUUGGUUCUACGGGGAGUAUAUGUUUGCUUGCUUGUUUGAUAUGUAAUAAUAGAUAACCAGAAUAAAGUCCUUUAUGAUUCUAUAAAAGAUCCAUCUCUAAACCCUCUUCAUUGGGCCACCAAGGUCAAAAGCUUACAUAUACUUGUACAGGGAAUGAGUUUUAUAUAUUUCCAGCCCACUCCCAACUCUGCAACUUCCACCUCCAUUCUCAGUAAAUAUGCCAGUUUACUUAAGAAUUCCUCCCAUUCAUUUCUGUUGUGCUUUCUGUGGUCUGGAAGAUCAUAUUUUCCAACAUGUGGGUCAAGGGUCUUAUGGGUCUUUUUUGUUCUUGGUGAAGUUUUCCAUUGUGGAAGCAAAUAUAAGCAUAAAUAUAGGUGAAUCAAUACAAAUAAAUAAAUAACAUAUGUUUAUUCUGAUAAUUAGCAAAUUGGUAGUUACUAAACAUCUUUCAUUUACCAGGUCUUCCAGAAGGGUGCACUUAACUGUGGAGGAAAAACAACUCAUUAAAGUCUUUGAAGGUGACAUUGCCAAGGGAGAUAUUCUGCAGGCAAAGUGGACAGAAUGUCCUGAGACAUCCUUGCUUUAAUCAAUGUUGAAACAACUGAGAAGCUAAAACAUCAGGUUUUGCAGUUGGAUCAGGGGAGCAGGAUGAGUACUGACUAAGCACCUACUGUGUGCAGAUCCUGAGCAAAGUAGUUACGGCAGUUAGCAGGGGUAAUUGCAUUUAAUUUUCCCAACAUCCUUGGGAGCUAAGAACCAUCCUCUACUGCCCGGUCUUCUCUCUCUCCCCCUCUCUAUCUCUGCAUCUCCCUCUCUUUCCAGACAUUCCUGUUUAUUCCCAGUAAAACUAAAAUCUACACAAGCUCCACAUAUCUUUGAUUAAAUCUUGAUCAAAAUCCAAUAACUCAGAAACUGUAAGUUUCAACAAGGAGUUAAUAAUUUAAAGUUGUUGACACAAGUGCUUUUGAGACUGGUAGUAGGCUCUCUCCUCUGAUGUUGGAAUAAGCUGAAAGGCACAAAAAAUAGCAGUAGACAAGUGGGGAAAGUGUCACAUUCAAAGCUAAAUCCAUACUGAAUCUGUAUCUCACAUGAUAAAAUGAGUGUUUUGUGUGCAAGAACUUCUCCUCGAGAGAUUUUUUUUUUAACCCCCGGUGGUUUAAUUGUGAAAUUGCUCUUAAUCUUGAGAGUACGGAGCUUGCUUUUUGGUUGGCUGGCUAGGUGGUUGGUUGGUUGACUGUAGAAAACUUAUUUCUAUUCAUUGUGUGUUAGUUACAGAAAAGUGAAUUUACUCAUAAGCUUUGUAAUAGUCAACCCUCUGACUAUGAAUUCACCGACUGUAUUAUAAUAAACGCAGCCCACUGUGUAAAGAUGUAAAUCUCUUGAUGUUAAGAAGGGUUUUCUUCCUUGCAUAAACUGUACAAGAAAAUAAUGGUGCUUAUAGCAGAAAUGUCUUUAAGGCCUACAUAAAAACCUCAAUUUUUCAAAACACUCAAAUGGCUUCUACUAUUACCUCUAAAGACUAGUUUAGGAAUUGCAUAUUUCUUUCUCCAAUAACAUUCUAUGGGUUCUCCCACCUCCAGUCUCUCUCCUCAAUGAUCCUUUCUUCACCAAUGUGGUGAUUCUGCUAGUUGCUCAGGAUGUCUCUUCUAAUUAUGCAUUCCUGAACUGGGGGGAAAACCACAGAACAAGCUUGAGGACCCGCUGUGAGAUGGACCUGAGCUAAAACUCCAUUGAUCACCUAACCACCAUAAGCUCCUACUCUGACUGAUGGGCCACAGUGACGUUUUCAGUCUCUUGGAAUUAGUGUCAGUUCAGAGCAAGUAUCUUCAAAAGGUCUGACUAUUUUCCUUUCCCCAAUGCACAGUCACCUAGUAAAAGCCCACAGGUCUCUUUGGGGAACACUGAGAGAAAGAUUAAUGGUAUAAAUUUUUGGCAGUGUACUGGGGUCCCUCCUCAAGGAGAUUCAGCCUCCCUUUCAUUCAAGGGUUUCUGGGUCUGUAAACUGGCUCAAGUCUGGGAAUUGACCAAGAAGCCAUGAUGCUCUGUUUCUAUAUUUCAUGAGACUUCUGUUCACUUGACCUAGAAGUUUACUCUUAUACAGAUCAAGUAAGAGUUUAGUAGACCUCCUAUUUAUUUCAUUUCUAAAAAUGCCACAAUGAACUAGCCAGUACCACAGGUCUACAUAGGUCAGACUGUUCUGAUUUCUGCUUUGCCUCUGCUGUCCACUACAAUAACCACACUCCCCUUGCCUUUGGUGACUGAGUGCCACCACUUGGCCCUUGCACCCUGGGAUCCAAUUAUUCCCACUGCAUUUAGGUAUUGCAACUCCAUGACUACAGUCCACACUGUAAGGUCUGUUCCAGAGAGCACAGUAAUCACAGAUCUCUUUAAGAACACUGAGGAUCCCCUCAAAAAACUCACAUAGUCAUGGUAAAAGAUGUGUCCUCUGAACCCUCCAAGUGAGGGUGAGUAAGUCUGAAAUGAAAAAUCCGCUCUAACAUGCAAAUAUUCCUAGGCCUUUCAAUCUCUUCCUCUACCAUAAACCAACAUAGGUCUGGCAUUUCGACUUCAUUUACUAUGGGCCACAUUUUGGUCUACAUUUCAGCCAACCAAUGAAACAAAUAGUAGAGUUUUUUCCAGCCCUACAAGCUGCAACAUUAAAUGCAGAAUUUCUGCUUAGUGGGCCCAAAUCAAUAAAUGUAGCCUGACCCAACUUUAUGUUUCUUCCACCAGUAUCCCACACCCUUAAUAUCCAUUCCUACAUAUACUUUCCAGAAAAAUCAAGUCAUUCUUUUGGAGUGUAACCACCUCUUCAUGGUCCACACGUUGUGCCUCACCUUUAGAGGCCUGAUGGGACUUGACUCUAGUUACAGGUCUAGAAGCAAAGAGGGGUGGAGGGGUUGGGUCCUGAUGAGAAUCAGCAAGUCUUGCAAGGCAACUGCCUCAGGAGAGGCAAUUACAGACUCCUCAGUCAAUGCAAAGUUCAUCUCCUCUGAAUGGGGGCAGAGAGGAUGCUUAUAAUGGCAAAGAAGACUCAUCAGAAUGUAGGGGCUCAGUGUUCCCAAUUUCAUCAGUCUUCCCACACAUCCCCAUGCUAACUUUCAGGAUCUCAUUCCUUCCCAAUCAAUGUUCUCACUUUAACAGAAGACACCCUGCAAGGCUGGGAAUUCAAUUUUCACUAUAAUUCAGCCACUCACAGAAUGAGAUUCUGGGUUUGGUUUUCAGCAAUCUCAGGAGAUAAGGAUCUCUUUCAAGGGAAACACAGAAGCUUUCAAAUCCUUUAUGCAGCAUUUGAACUGGGAAUUUGAAUCCUUGGGCUCAUUCAUUUCUUUCCCCCACUUUGUCCAGUAACAUUAGUGCUAACAGCCAAAGUCUUUAUACUCAUUAGUUUCACAAAAAUGUUUGAAGGUAUCAUGUACUCGGUCACCCAGAUUCUUGCCUAUUAUAAGUAUUUGAUUAGAUGUAUCUAGUGAUAUUUUAUGUAUCUUCAUUGCCACGUCACAACAUGGACUAUCAGUGCUCUCUUUACUCCUAGAAAUAGAGUCAAAAGGGUCUUUAACGUCGAAUCAACAUAAGUGCCCAUCAACGGGGGAUUGGAUAAAGAAAAGGUGGUGCAUAUACACCAUGGAAUACUACACAGCCAUAAAC
rnacentral:lncRNA from 1 species